CAGGUGGUGCAUGGUUGUCGUCAGCUCGUGUCGUGAAAUGUUGGGUUAAGUCCCGCAACGAGCGCAACCCCUAUCUUUAGUUGCCAGCCUUUAGGUUGGGCACUCUAGGGAGACUGCCAGGGAUAACCUGGAGGAAGGUGGGGAUGACGUCAAAUCAUCAUGCCCCUUAUGACCAGGGCUACACACGUGCUACAAUGGCGUAAACAAAGGGAAGCGAGCCCGCGAGGGGGAGCAAAUCCCAAAAAUAACGUCUCAGUUCGGAUUGUAGUCUGCAACUCGACUACAUGAA
rnacentral:rRNA from 1 species